rnacentral:rRNA from 1 species
AGAGUUUGAUCCUGGCUCAGAUUGAACGCUGGCGGAAUGCUUUACACAUGCAAGUCGAGCGGCAGCGCGGGGGCAACCCUGGCGGCGAGCGGCGAACGGGUGAGUAAUGUAUCGGAACGUACCCAGUCGUGGGGGAUAACUAUCCGAAAGGAUAGCUAAUACCGCAUACGUCCUGAGGGAGAAAGCGGGGGACCGUAAGGCCUCGCGCGAUUGGAGCGGCCGAUAUCGGAUUAGCUAGUUGGUGAGGUAAGGGCUCACCAAGGCGACGAUCCGUAGCUGGUCUGAGAGGACGACCAGCCACACUGGAACUGAGACACGGUCCAGACUCCUACGGGAGGCAGCAGUGGGGAAUUUUGGACAAUGGGGGCAACCCUGAUCCAGCCAUUCCGCGUGAGUGAAGAAGGCCUU